rnacentral:rRNA from 1 species
GAAUUUUGGCCAAUGGGCGAAAGCCUGAUCCACCAAUGCCGCGUGCAGGAUGAAGGCCUUCGGGUUGUAAACUCCUUUUGUACGGAACGAAAAGCCUUGGGUUAAUACCCCGGAUUCAGGACGGUACCGUCCGAAUAACCACCGGCUCACUACGUCGCAGCCGCCGCGGUAAUACGCAGGGUGCGGGCGUUAGUCGGAAUUACUGGGCGUAAAGCGUGCGCAGGCGGUUUUGUAAGACAGAGGUGAAAUCCCCGGGCUCAACCUGGGAACUGCCUUUGUGACUGCAAGGCUAGAGUACGGCAGAGGGGGGUGGAAUUCCGCGUGUAGCGGUGAAAUGCGUAGAUAUGCGGAGGAACACCGAUGGCGAAGGCAACCCCCUGGGCCUGUACUGACGCUCAUGCACGAAAGCGUGGGGAGCAAAC